GGGCCUACAAGGGAAUACAAUCUUGUAUUCGAAACGGAUAAUGUUGGAAGACAUUUUUCGUACGCUUACUACUCAAGAAAGCUUAGUAAUGGGGAGGUCAGUGAUCGGAAGUGGUUGGUGUACUCGAAACAUGUGAAUAAAGUUUACUGUUUUUGCUACAAAUUGUUCAAGUCUGAAAGUAGCAAAAGUUUACUAGCAUCUGAAGGACUAAUGGACUGGAAGCAUCUAAGUGAGAAGCUCAAACUUCAUGAGAAUAGUGUUGAGCAUAUCACUAACAUGAAUACUUGGAAUGAGGUAAGACUGAGGCUAAGUAAAAAUGUGACAAUUGAUAAAGAUCUGCAGCAAGAAAUUGCAAAGGAGAAAGAGCGAUGGAGACAAGUUCUGAUUAGAAUUGCUGCUGCAGUGAAGUUUCUUGCCAAGCAUAAUUUGGCUUUUCGAGGAUCAAAUGAGAAACUAUACCAAGUU
rnacentral:rRNA from 1 species